GUACUUUGUACAUGCUUCGGCAGUACAUAUACUAAAAUUGGAACGAUACAGAGAAGAUUAGCAUGGCCCCUGCGCAAGGAUGACACGCAAAAUCGUGAAGCGUUCCACAUUUUU
rnacentral:snRNA from 1 species